rnacentral:lncRNA from 1 species
AAUUUGUUUUACAGCAGUGGUCGAUCGUAAUUUUGACAGGACGCCAGAAAUCAGCAGAUCUACAGCGACGCAUUACAGCAACAUGUUUGUUCCUACGUGUUUACUCUGUGUCUGCAGAACCGCAGUUUGACUUGUUUUGACUGUGCGUGUCAUUGUAACUGAGUGGCUGAGAGCACUUAUUCUAUUCCUACUGUCUUCUGUGUUUCUGAGGUUGGUCAAUAAAUAUGUUUAUAUAUAUAUAUAUAUAUAUAUAUAUAUAUAUAUAUAUAUAUAUAUAUAUAUAUAUAUAUAUAUAUAUAUAUAUAUACACAAUGAGAUUCUGAUCAGACAAACAAAAUAUAUUAAAUUGUAUCAAAAAGUAUUGUUUACACAUUUGCCAUUCAGUGCAUGGAUAAUUGGUGUACUUUUUUCUUUUUAAGAAUAAGUUUAAGAGGACUACAACAGUUUGCUGCAACAGUUCUUCUCCAUGCUGGAUGGUUAUUCUUCAGACCUGAAAAUGGUGUUUGACAAGGAAGGCGGCAUUGAAGGACAAAAGAUUAAGAGCAUCAUGGUUCCCAUAACCCAGAAGAGUACAUCCUUUAAGCCCAGUGUGUGUUCCUCAAUGAAGAUCCUGGCAACCUUGUGAAAGAAUGGAUGGUAAGAAUGUUUUUUUUAUUUUUUUUUAUUUUAUGUAAAUUUAAAAUUUGAUAGUGAUUUAUAUAUGCUUUAAAAGUUGAAGUGUUAUAUAACAUCAUCCACUUUUUUAAUUUUACAUUUCAGAUCGUGGACGCCUUGAAGAAGCCAUGAUAGAGACAAUGCUUGAAGUUUUUGUCAUUCACAAAGAUGCAGAGGCAGAUGAUGACCCUGAAGAUGUAGUCCUCGUUUCAAGUCCUGGAUGAGUUGGGUAGUGUCCCACUUGCUGUGUUGUUGUUUUCUCUUGUAUAUGCUCUCAACGUCAGCUACCCUCCACUAAAAGUUGUUUGAAAUAUUGGCCCAAUGCUGUAUGUACAAUACUGGAUGUUAGCGACAUUUUAUAGCUGCCUUUGAGAUUUGAAAGCUGUUUUAUCGUUUUUAUGAAGCUUAUAAACUAUUCUAACCAGUCUAAAUCCAAUGUGCUUUGUGUCUUCUCCAACCUACACACCAGCUGGGGAUAUAUGUUAGUUUGCAUAAUAGAAAUACUGUUUCAAAGAUAACUUUAUUUGUAUGUAACUUUGAAAAGCUAAUCUUGGCACAAAACAUUUGAUAACUUUACAUUGGUUGUGUUAGUAUAGCAUAAUUUAUU